UCUCCGCUGGUGAACCAGCGGAGGGAUCAUUACUGGAAUCGCAAGAUCCCACAACCCUGUGAACCUACCGAAACGUUGCCUCGGCGGGUUCCCGGCCUCUGCGCCGGGCGCUGCGCCCGCCGGCGGCCCCCUACUCUGUCUCUGCAGCGUGGCAUCUCAGAGUCCCAGAAAACAAGUCAAAACUUUCAACAACGGAUCUCUUGGCUCUA
rnacentral:misc_RNA from 1 species